AAAAACAUCGCUCCUUGUUAUAAAACUCUUUAUAAGGAGUCGGACCUGCCCGGUGACAUUCUGUUUAACGGCUGCGGCUUAUACCGCAUUAAAGUAGCAUAAUAAUUUGCCUCUUAAUUGGGGGCUAGAAUGAAUGGUCUGACGAGAGCUUUGCUGUCUCUUUCUAAAUAUUUAAAAAUUAACUUUUAGGUGAAGAGGCCUAAAUUUUAUUGAGGGACGAAAAGACCCUAUUGAGCUUUAGUGAUACUACAGAAAACUAUAUUUUAUGCUUUAAGCCAUAACUAUUCUAAUUUAACAUCUGUCGAUAAUCUUUAGCUGGGACGGCUAAGGAGCAAUAAAAACCUCCUCAAUAUUUAAUUUAGCUAACAAGUUAAACGAUCCAGUAUUUACUGAUCAAUGGAAAAAGUUACCAUAGGGAUAACAGCGUAAUCCCCUCAAAGAGCUCGUAUCAAAGAGGGGGGUUGCGACCUCGAUGUUGGACUAAGAUACCCCAAGGGUGCAGCAGUUCUUGACGGUUGGUCUGUUCGACCAUUAAAAUCUUACGUGAUCU
rnacentral:rRNA from 1 species